UACGGAGGGUGCAAGCGUUAUCCGGAUUUACUGGGUUUAAAGGGUGUGUAGGCGGGUUUUUAAGUCCGUGGUGAAAUCUCCGAGCUUAACUUGGAAACUGCCAUUGAUACUAUUGAUCUUGAAUUCUGUUGAGGUGGGCGGAAUAUGUCAUGUAGCGGUGAAAUGCAUAGAUAUGACAUAGAACACCAAUUGCGAAGGCAGCUCACUAAGCAGAUAUUGACGCUGAGGCACGAAAGCGUGGGGAUCAAACAGG
rnacentral:rRNA from 1 species